rnacentral:misc_RNA from 1 species
GCAAACUUGGUCAUUUAGAGGAAGUAAAAGUCGUAACAAGGUUUCCGUAGGUGAACCUGCGGAAGGAUCAUUAACGUGUUCAGGGUCUCCGACCCAUUCACGCCCCUUGUGUAACCUCUGGUUUCUUUGGCAAAAUCGUCCCGAUUUUGUCAAACUUUAACUCUGGGAAUGUGGUACUUGUCCGAGUCGCAUGAAAUACAUCAAAACUUUCAACAACGGAUCUCUUGGUUCCAGCAUCGAUGAAGAACGCAGC